UGUGCUGGAUAAUUGAACAAUAACAUUUUUCUACAUAGUUUAAUUAAACUAUUAGAUUAAUCCAAGUGGCUCUGGCCUAAUCGUUUUUAAUCAACCAUAGUUUUUUCAAUGGUUGAAUCCAGGCUAGUAGAAUAUUAAUAUGCACAGCCUUAACACAUUACGUGUGUAAUGGUCGUCAUAAGGGACAACUAUUACUGCUAAUUUAUUUUAUGCUUUUAUUCUCAACAAUAUAGGUGACUAGGCCUACACAUGAUGUAGCCAUAUCAUAUCCAUAGACUUGAGCAGUACACCUGUAGCAUGAUGGAAUUUCUAGCACAGGGGUGAAUUCAACGAGUGAAACUCUGAGGCUGUUCGAUUAAUCUAGCCCCGGCGCCCGUGUUUUGCAUCGGCUGAAAGUUGAUUGCAUUCGAUUUGGAACCGGGCUGCCUCCCAUGCAUGAGCCAAGUGCCCCGUUCAAUGCCCACGGCGAAAUCGGCUCAAACACGUAAUUAAGAACGUGUAGUAAUUAGUCGGAUCCUGUGUUUUCCCAUGCAGAGGUGAUUGCUUUCGAUUACUGUUCGAUUUGAGAAAGGCAUUCCCAUCUUGAUGCUUUUGCCCGAUGACGUGAAGGGCCUUUGCCUUGUGCCCGGUGGCACAGCAUAAUCGAAUCCGCUCAUUCAGAACAUUAUAGAUACAAAUGCUGAUGUCUGGAACGCCAUCUGAUUGGUGGCGCUUGUUACCAUGGUCCUGCGUAAAACAGAAGCUGUGAUUUAUUUACAGAGGCAAUUGCUUGCCUUUCCCACAUUUUCCUGCUAUCCUAAACAGCUUCAGACUGUUGCUGGCGACGGUAACGUUACUUUAUGGCUUUCUUCGGGAUAACGAAUUUGGGCUAUCAAAACCCCAUCGGAGACAAUAUGUUAUUGAGUCCGAGAUCGUCUGCUUUUCCUGGUGAUGAGGUGGAUUCAAGGAGCUGGGCUAAACAGUCAGGACUGCCCUCCAUCCAAGUCCAGAGGGGACCCCCAAAAUGCACUGAUACCCCCUUCAGCCCAGACCUACACCAAGGUAGCCAGGGGCGAUACAGAGAGAUGCUCAAACGGGUUCAGAUACCAAGAUGUAAGUUAGAUCCCCGAAUCAGCUGUACUCAGUGCCCCUGACAGACAGCCAGCAGUGUGGAUGGUGGAUGUCUAAUGGAGGCCAAGGAAAGAUGCAUGAACCCUGGACCCAAGUCAGACGAUUCGCCCGCAAGAACAGUGAGAUGACCAAGUUUGUGAAAGAGAUGUCAAUGACGGACCGAGAGUUCAGCUUAUUCUGAUUUCCACUCCUGCAGUAACAUACACACACACACAAAAUCCCAUCCAAAGACCUCUUAGACCUUUACACUGUAAGGACUAUUGUGGUUUAAUAAACUGGGACAUUUUCAUCAUAGCAUGUUAUUUAUUUUUGUGAGCUACUGUAUCAGGUUGUCAAUUGACCUCUGCCUUUCCACUGGUAAAAUUGAGCUGUUACCUCUCUCUAGAGGAAUACAAUUGUAAUGCCCAUGAGGAAAUAAGAGUAUAAGAGUAUUGUUUCAGUAAUUAGUUAUUGUUACUCAGUAAGGUCAUUCAUUCGACCUUGGGGAUAGUAACUGACUAUCUUCAAUCAGUUACGAUAUUAUGACUGAAAAGUGUCUAGCCAAAUAUUUGAUACGGCAUGUUUGUAUAUUUAGUAAAGCUUGUAUUUUGCAUACUUUCAGUACAUUAACUGAAUCAAUAAAAUGAUAACACGAGGAAAACAUUUACUUAUCUUUAACGUUUUUCUAAAUAAGCUAACAUUACAGUAUCAUUAAUAAUAUAUGAGGUCAAAGGAAUAUCCAGAUAUCACUUGCUUUCUGUCAGUACACUUUUGGCAGCAUAACCAGUUAUCCAUCACAUUUACCCCAUCCCCACCCUAACUCCUCCCUCAUCUUGUAGGCUCCUUCCCUGUGCUCGUGUACUGUAUGCAGUUUUCUUUAACUUGCUUGUCCCUUCCCAAUAUGCGUGUGUAAACUCCUGGAGUUUCUAUGUAAAUGUAAUGAUCUGUGAGAGAGGCACUCUACCUGAGAAACAAUGCUGUUUCUGAUUACAGGGUCAUUGAGUGAGUCAGUCAGCACUGAGCACACACACCAGUCUCAAUGGCGGGCUUGAACAAUUCAGAGGAUGUGGCUGUAACUACCUGGCGUCUG